UUGUAUUUAGAAAAACUGUGUCUUCCAGAGUUACUGUUUAGAGAUGUGAAAAUGUCGAAAUUGCAAAAUAUAAGUUAUAGAAAUUUAAGAUACAUUUUCUGCAUAUACCUGGUUUUUUUUUCUCCUCACUAUAUGCAGUAGUUGUAUCUUAGACCAUUUCCCCCAAAUCAUGAGGCAAAAAUCAAACACUUUUAUGGAGAUGUUGUAGUCUCAGAGAAAUGUAGAUUCAAGAAAAGGGAAAUGAAGAAAAACAAGUACAAAAUGAAACAUUAAGAAGCUGACCACAGCUUCCACAGAAAGCACAGUUGGCUGUUCCAUUACACUGAUGCCUUUAGUAAGGUGGUAUGGAAAAGCCACUUAUUCUCAUAAUUCUCUGUUAGGCAAAAAAGAAUGAGCAUAUAUAUUUAAGGCACCUUUCCAUUGUUUGUCUUUCACAGAUGAAAGUUGUCACUGGGGUUGUUAACUCACCCACACUCCUCCAUAUCUUACCUGGCUUCUCCGAGCUGUGGAGGCCACAACCAUUGAGAAUCACAGUACCAUCUUCUUUGAUCUUGCAGAGGGUCUAUUGUGGGACUUCACCUUGUGAUCAUGUGAGUCAAUUGUCCUUAAUAAACUCCCUUUCAUAUAUACAUCUAUCCUAG
rnacentral:lncRNA from 1 species